AUGAAGCAAAAGAUUGUCAUCCAGUUGAGCAUGUCGUGCGACAAACGCCGGUCCAAAGCACUGACGCUUGCCGCGAGAGCUGCCGGGGUGACGUCCAUGGGGAUAACCGGCGACGCGAGGGACCAGCUGGAGGUGGUCGGCGACGGCGUCGACUCGGUGUGCCUCGUCAGCUGCCUCCGCAAGAAGCUCGGCCACGCCCAAAUCAUCAAGGUGGAGGAAGUGAAGAAGCCGGAGGAGAAGAAGAAGGAUGAGCCGAAGCCAGAGCCCGUGCACCCGCCGCCCUACUUCUUCUACCCGCCCAGCUGCUCCUACUACCCCCACCAGUACCCGCUCUACUUCUGA
rnacentral:rRNA from 1 species